UUCCAAUGCCAUACCCAUUGUUAGUCCUUUAGACUAGAUCCGAGAUCCCUUAAGAGAAAAGGUAUCAGGACAGCAGGAAUCAAUAGAUGUAAUCAUCAAGGGCUUGCAAAAGAGCUGUUACGAAACAGGACACACGCAGCUGGGAUGAUUGCCCUAUUAGUAGUUGACCUAUUACAAAAUAGCAAUCACCAAUGCAGGCAGGUACGUGUUGAUUGCUGCAUUGUCUUCGUAAAUAGGCUUCAUUAGGAACUAAAUGGCUCCUUCACAGUGCAGAAUAUUUGAUAGUACUGACUCCCGUUGAGUAGAGUCGUGUGUCUUUGGCGUGAUUUGAAGUCGACUUCUGAUGUGGGAUUGAGUUCAUUUUUAAAAGAAUAUUUGCUGAGGAAUCGAAAUGAUAAGAGAAAGUAAAGGCCCUAAAUACAGGCUGCCAGUUAAAUGCAGCAAUGACACGGCUAAAGUGUGUCAUUGCCGGACCAAAGAGCGGGAAUAGUCUGCUGUUGCAUCUUCACUCAUGAGACAGGUAAUAGCGGAGCUCCGUGGUGCUGAAAAGGACAGCGCCCCUGGCCAUUUGCCAAAGCCUAUUUCCCGUUAGAGGGAUUCUUGACAUGCUAUAGGCACAGUUCAGUACACUCCUCAUCCAACAGACCCCCUCCUGUAAUUGGUCCCAGAAUCAUCCACUUGAUUCCCGACCACCAACCGAUUGUCGGGGUGCAUCGGUGUAAAAUGUGGUCGUCGAGAUAAAGUUCUAUAGGCUACAUGGGGUAAUGGCAUCCGGAGCUUACAGAUAAAGAUUGCACUAGGCUAGAGAGAAAAGUAGCAUUCCGUUUUUCAUAAAGUAGGUCAAUGUAACUUACCCUCUUUUGAUACUUGAGAAACAUACAUUCACACGAUGUCCAAAUCUGCAAGAGACAAAGCAGCAGAAAAUCAGCAGGUGAACAAAAGGGUUAAGUGAAUAUGAUUUAAGAGCAGUCAAAUGAAGUAACAGUGACAUAUAUUGUAAGAAAUGAAAUCUACCAUGUGAACAUUGCAUUGUGGCUUUAGAAGAGCAUGUAUUUGUAGAUGAAUGCCAGAUUAGGUUUGGUGACAAAGUAACUGUAUAAUUUGAGGUACUCUACAUGACAAUGUGUUUGCCUAUUUGAUGAUCUGUUGUAGUUAAUGUUUGAUUUUGACCACGUACUUGUUGUAACGUGGAGGUCGUUUGCAUAGCUCAUGUCAUGUGGAUAUAUAAAGUAUUGUAUUGUAAGGUAUGUUAGUCUACGGACGGUGUGACAUUGCUCGUCCAUAUAUUGAUGUAUUCCAAUUCCAUUUGGGUGUAUUGUGUGGAAUGUUGGAACAUGGUUCGAUCUUACUUGUUAGACUUGACUGUGCUGUUGGAGCUAGUAACGCAAGCAUUUCUGCUAAUCAGGUGUAUGUAUAUCUCUCUAGUCACCCCCAAAACCAAAUCUUUCUUUGGCCGCAUCUCCUUCCAGUUCUCUGCUGCCAAUGACUGGAAGGAACUACAAAAAUCUCUGAACCUGGAAACACUUAUCUCCCUCACUAGCUUUAAGCACCAACUGUCAGAGCAGCUCACAGAUUACUCCACCUGUACAUAGCCCACCUAUAAUUUAGCCCAAACAACUACCUCUUUCCCUACUGUAUUGAAUGAACUAAUUUAUUUUGCUCCUUUGCACCCCAUUAUUUUUAUUCCUACUUUGCACAUUUCUUCCAUUGCAAAUGUACCAUUCCAGUGUUUGACUUGCUAUAUUGUAUUUACUUUGCCACCAUGGCCUUUUUUUGCCUUUACCUCCCUUAUCUCACCUCAUUUGCUCACAUCGUAUAUAGACUUGUUUAUACUGUAUUAUUGACUGUAUAUUUGUUUUACUCCAUGUGUAAGUCUGUGUCGUUGUAUGUGUCGAACUGCUUUGCUUUAUCUUGGCCAGGUCGCAAUUGUAAAUGAGAAGUUGUUCUCAACUUGCCUACCUGGUUAAAUAAAGGUGAAAAAAAAUGUG